GAGGACACAAUUUUAGGUGAGUGAGGAGGUAUCAGGUAGUGACUCAUUCAGAGACUUUGAGCCAAGUCAGAGAGUGGUGGGAGAACUGAUGAUAUAUCUCCCUUGAGCUUUGAUCCUUCUUCCUAAAAAGGUAAUUGUCUUGUGAAAUAGUUCUGUCCUGCAAACAUUUUAGGCGGGAGUUACUGAUAAGGACUGAUCUUAAGACAUUGUUUCAGGCUUCAGCAAGAGAACUGUUUCUGAAUGUUUAUUUGAGGUUAAUUUUACCUUUGGAACAGAAAUCCCAGGAUGGAUUUGAGAUUUAGUUUUUCCUGAAUCUCCAUAGGCCAAGAGUUAAGAGGCAGGGAAGAAAAGAUGGUGGAAACUGAGUUUUGAACUCAUUAGAAAACCUGUCCUAGGCUUGGCUUCCAGCAGUUUGGGGAGGCUGAGGUGGGAGGAUCUCAAGUUCAAAGCCAGUCUCAGUAAAAAAUGAGGCCCAAAGCAACUCACUCUGUCUCUAAAUAAAAUACGAAAUGGGGCUUGGAAUGUGGCUCAGUGGUUAAGCACCCGUGCAUUUUCAACCCCCUGGACCAAAAAGAAAAGCAACCUGCCCUAGGAAAGCAUGAGCUGGGAAGCCUCUGUCAGUUGGUGGCAAGUUCAUAGAGUCAGGAUCAGCUCCUUCUGGGACUUCUUAGUGGGUAGAGAGGAUAACACAGUUAAGGAAUGAGUGGUAAUUUUUGUGUAGAAAGUAGAAUAUUCAUGGGGUGGGUUCUGUUCCAAUAGUACCUUCUUGAUUUGACCUGCCCUCUUGUCAGUUCUUGGGAAUGUUUGUAUUCUUUGACUUUGCUUAUUUCGUAUUUGUUAACUGAACUAAACAGCUGUGAGCACGCCUGGCUGGGAAGUUGGUAAGGAGGGAAGCUAACGCUGUGUAGGCUCUAUAAGUCAGUAGAUGAAGGUGAUUGGAAAGGGUGUAACAUCAGUGCCAAGGUCUCACUCCCUCAGAGAGUCAAGGCAUUUCUUGGUCUAGGUACUUCUCUCAGCAGGCAGCUCCAGAAAGAAGGUUGGGGACUGAGGCUAAAACAUCAGUGCUCUCAAGAGGGUCAGGCUAGAUGUGCUACCUCAGCACCAUCCUGUCCCCCCUCCUUUCUUUGAGACCCUCUGCUUUUCUUCUGUGUUCAUUGCUGAGUUUUGUCUUUUUCUCCCAUAUGCUUCUCUUCUAAGGCAGUCAGCAAACUGGCGCAGAGGUUGGUAAGACAGCUGGCAGCAUCAGGAAUAUGAGCCUCUUGGUACCCAGCUGCCAUGUGUUACCAGCAGUUGUGGUUGUUAAAGGUCCCAGUUGGAGCAUGAAAUUAGGCAGGCAUUAUCUGCCCUCUUCAUCUGACCCUGUAUCUCCUGAGAGAAUUGUCUUCUUUCCCUGUCCUGGGUCUUUUCUGCAUUUCUGGGGUUUUGACUUUGAUUUGAACAGACAAGCCUCCUUUAUACUUAAUGUCUUUGUCCUUGGCCCAACACAGGUUUUCCUUCUGCCUUCGCCUCCCUGAUCCUUCUCUUUGCCCAUUCUGUGACUUACCUCUGACUGAUCUGCCCAAUUUGCUGGCCAGCAUGUUGGCAGUAAUUCAUUACCCUGCCACCCACUCACCCCUCUACCACCUUCCUGCUUUUCUGAUUCCCCAACAGGGUCUUUCUUUUCUAGUUAUUUCUCACUUUAGUAUAAGAGGUGGUUAAGCAUGGAAUGUGGAAUUAGACUGCCAGGGUUUGAAUCUUGAUUAUUCUUCUAAUCUCUUAUGUAACCUGGAGCUAUGUGCUUUAACUUUUCUGCCUAUCUAAUCAUACGUAAUACCUAAUUCAAAGGGUUGUUAUGUGUGUCAAGUGUAAUAAUGUAUAUAAUACAAGACAAAUGAAUAUUAGCUAUUGUUAUUAUUCUUGAUGCCAUCCUUGAUACCUGCCUGCUUUAUACCUUUUGGAUGAAACCUUAACAGGACAGAACUGAGCAGGCUAAGGGGGCUUCUAACGAGAUCCCUGAAGGUAUUCCCCCAGGAGUUUGGGCUCACUGGAAAGACUAGUGAGAAAAGCUCAAAGAGGAAAGGAAACAACGACUCUCACAGAAAAAACUGUCCUACCAUCCCUGCCCCUGGGGUGGGGAUAUUGAAGGACCAUUCUUCUUUCAAUACUUGACAAAAGCAAAGGGUAUCCAGAAAGAAGAAGAUAGACAUUUAGUAAGAAAAUUCAGUUUGGGUUUUGUUGUUUCUCUGGAGCCCUGAUCCCUUAGUGCUUUCUUUGUGGCAUCUGUCUGGGUCAUAUCGGGUCUAAAAACCUCUGGUUGCUUUAUGGCUCAUUCAACUAAACCCAUUCUGCAAUGACCUUUUACUGGCAGAUGAAAAGCAGAUGGCCUCCACCUGGUUUAGCUCAGCUUGUGGCAUCAAACAGUAGGAUACUUCCUGAGAAGGGAGGAAGGGGGAAAGGGAUAGGACUAGGAGCUUUGUCCAGCAGGCUUUCCAGUCUUAUUAGAAAAUUGCUCGGUGCUUUCCCCCCACCCUGUGUGACAGACCAAGGGGUAGAUAUGGGAUAAAGGAGCCCUGUG
rnacentral:lncRNA from 1 species